ensembl:lncRNA
CAUAUAUAGAUUCACAUUCAGGUAUUUUGAAUAAUUUGUUACUACAGAAUAUAGAUAGAUCAGACAUAGUAUACCUAGGUGUUAACUGAUAAUCAAUUUAAUAGGACACUGGAUGCAAAGGAGCUGAGAGAGGCUUCAUAACAUACGCAACUGGAGAGUCACCAAGAGGCCCACAGACCCAGGAGCUGAGUGUCUGCACAGGGCCUCAUAGCUACACACAAGGUGAGCGUCUGCCUAGGGGCUUCCUUGGAACACCAGCCGAGUGAAAGCCUAGAGGCCCCACAGGCGCACAAAAGAUGUCUUACUAGAAGCCGUAUAGCUAUAAACGAGCUCAGCUUCUGCCUAAAGGCCUCCUAGUAAGACAGGAGCUGAGCAUCUGUCUAGAGCCCUCACGGUUCCACAGGAGUUGAGUGUCUGCCUAGAGGCCUUACAGGACAACAGGAGCCGAGCAUCUGCCUUGAGGUCUCUAGACAGGCACAAGCUGAGCCUCUGUCUAGAGGCCUCAUAGGAAAACAGGAGUUGAGCAUCUGCAUAGACGCCUCUAGGCCCACAGAAGCUGAGUGUCUGCCUAGAGGACUCACAGCCCCACAGGAAUUGAACAUCUGCCUAGAGGUCUCUUGGCCUACAAGAGCUAAGCAUCUGGCUAGAGGCCUCAUGGGAACACAGGAGCUGAGUGUCUGUCUAGAAGCCUCACAGGAAAGAGGAGCUGAGUUUCUGCCUAGAGGCCUCACAGGCUGAGCAUCUGCCUAAAGACCUUAUAGGCCCAUAGGAGCUGAGAUCUGCCUAGAGGCCUCAUAAGCCCAUAGGAGUUGGGCGUCUGCCUAGAGGCCUCAUAGUUGUACGCAAGUUGAGAGUUUGCCUAGAGUCCUCAUAAGCACUAUUGUGUGGAGAUCUGCCUUGAGGCCUCCUGACAGACAUGAGGUGCACACCUGUCUAGAGGCCUCAUAGGAACACAGAAGAUGAGUGUCUCCCUAGAGGCCUCUGAGUUAUACACCAGCUGAGAGUCUGCCCUCAGGCCUCUUAGUUAUACAGGAGCUGAGCAUCUUCCUUGAAGCUCCAGACAGGCACAUGAGAGCUUCUGGAGGCCUCGUAAGCCCACAAGAGAUGAGCGUCUGCCUAGACAGCUCAUUUUAUUCACAAGUGAGAGUCUGUCUGAGGCCUCUAGACAGACAUGAGCUGAGCAUCUACCUAGAGCCCUCAUAGAAACACAGGAGCUGAGCGUCUCACCUGAGUCCUCAUAUACACGAGCUGAGCAGACAGACACACACGAACUGAGCAUCUGCCUAAAGGCCUCAUAGGCCCACAGGAUCUGAGCACCUGUCUAGAGGCCUCAUAGUUAAACAUAAGCUGAGCAUCUACUAGAGGCCUGAUAGUUAUGCAAAUGCUGAACAUCUGCCUAGAAGCCUCAUUGGCUCACAGGAUCUGAGAGUCUGCCUAGAGGCCUCAGAGGAGCUGAGCUUCUGCCUAGAGAACUCAUAGUUAUACUCAAGCUGAGCACCUGUUUGAGGCCUCUGAGUUAUAUACCGGCUGAGCGUCUGCCCAGAGGCCUCAUAGUUAUACACCAUCUUAGCAUCUUCUCUGUGGCCUCGUAUUUAUACACGAGCUGAGGAUAUGCCUAGUGGCCUCAUCGUAAUACACAAGCUGAACUUCUGCCUAGAAGCCUCAUUGGACAGAUGAUCUGAGGGUGUGCCUAGAGGCCUCAAACUUACACAUGAGCUGACAGUCUGAAUAAAGCAUCAUUGUUGUCCACGAGCUGAGAGUCUACCUACAGACCUCAUAGUUAUAAACGAGCUGAACCUCUAAGCAGAGGCCUCAUAUUUGUUCACAAAGCGAGCAUAUGCCUGGAAGCUUCAAGGUACAACAUGAGCAGUUCUAAAUCCCAAGAAAACCACCAUUCAUAGAGAAACAUGCACCCCACUGUUCACUGUAGCACAGCUUCCAAUAGGCAAGGCAGUAACCACAAAAUUUCUACCCACAGCUAAAGCUUAAACAAGAUGUGGUACAUAUAUACAGUGGACUAUUACUCAGUCAUAAAAAGCAUUACUGAAAUUAUGGUAUUUUCCACUCUUCUCUACAAGGUUGGACCUUGAAGGAUCACAUGCUAAGUGAAAUCCACUAGACAAAGAAAGAAACUAGCAGAUAACAUUCCAGGCAAAAUUAAAACGAGAUAAAAAAGGAACUAAUUUACAACACAAAAGGAGCCUUUGAAAAAUCAAACACAAAGAAUUAUUUAAAAAAAAAAAAAAGGCCAGUAUGAUAUGCAGGAGAUUGGGAUUAACAUACAUAAAGAAAUCCAUUACUCCAACAUAUACACCAAAAUCUGUAUAUGUAUAGAU